rnacentral:tRNA from 1 species
CAAAAAAUAGUUUAAAUUAAAAUCCUAGCUUUGGGAGCUAGGGGU